AUCGCCAAACGAAAACAGCAACCCGGAUCGACUCAUUGCUCUUACCUUGGAGGCGCCACACACUGAUGCCUCGGGAUCUCGCCCAUGCCGUUCGCUGUCACACAUCCGCCUGACACAGCGGAGCGCGUUGAAGGCGAGCCAUUUUACAGGUUAGCCAUGUACACCUUGCUAAGCUCGACCACAGACGUGUUGCCUGCCGUGCGAGACUUCUCCUUCCAGUUGCGUGCAUUCGACGUGCUCACGCCGUACGACGCCGUGGGGCUUCUAUCGUGUAUCGACUCGACAGGCCUUAUUGUAUGGGGUGGUGCACUAGGUUUUAUCGAAUGGCUCGUACAGAAUCCUCAUCGCCUACAAGCGCGAUUGAGAAUGGUAAGAAACGGACAAGCUCACGUUAUUGAGCUGGGGUGCGGCUCCGGUGUCGUUGCCGUGGCCCUGUGUGCUCUCCUGCGCGGACUUGGUUUUGCAGAUCGGGCGGAAAAGUCUUUCUCGUCCUCGCCCGCGGUUUGCGUGUGGGCCACAGACGGCAACCUCGAGUGCGUGUCGCUGGCUGAGAGAAACCUGAGUGCGCAGUUCAGGGAGCCGUGUACGUCGUGCCCUGGGGUCACUGCAUCCGCGGCGUUGCUGCCCUGGGGAGAUGCCGCAGCUGUGCAGCAAGCAUUGCAGACGCGCUUUUAUGGGUGCACUGCUGCCUCCUCGAUAACCGUCGUCGCGGCCGAUGUCUUGUAUGACGCCGCUGCAGUGCCUCUUCUGGUAUCCACUGUCUCUGAGAUCGCAAGAGUGCAUGCUGCGGAUGCGAGCCCGAGCACCCCGCCUGGCACUGUAGAAUGGUGGCUCGCGUACACACCGCGAAGCCUGACUCGGGCUGUGAACGAGGCCAUUUUCCAUGCGCUUCUCGACGCUAUUGCAGCUCACGGAUGGACAUACGAGCUUGUAGACCUUCCCGCAGGCGCUGUCGCCACAGGUUUUGAGGAAAGUCCUGGCUGUUCCGUUCCUGCACUCUUGGGCUGCAUUCUCGUCGUGCAGGUUACCUGCGAAACGCGUCCGUGAGCAGGCGACAGUACCAAAGCUGUGGUGCGCAUCCGAUCAUCAUCACGAUUAACCAAAAGAAAACCUAACAGUCAUCGAACCACAGCAGGCAACGGCAUGCGAGUUCUCCUCUGUGAAGGAAUGUUUACGUGCGUUUGUGUAAGGCCAACGUGCGUGAGUGUGUAUAAAGCGGACGCCCCCGGAACAGAGUAUACAGACAAGACUUUGCCGACAGCCACAUCGUGACGCAUAGCCCGUAAUGCAGCAGCUUGCUCAACCACACUCCUCGCCAGAUGCGAGCGAGCGUAGCUUCGGGAGAAAGCGGCUCGAAAGGCAUUGUGAAG
rnacentral:misc_RNA from 1 species